rnacentral:snoRNA from 1 species
AAAUAUAUAUUGCUUCUUGGCAGGUCUGCACCCCUGGACCUCUCAUAGUGUCCCAUGCCAGAACAAACUGUAGCCCCGAACUACUGCCUGUCCUCCUUGACCAUAGACCUCAGCACUGAAGAGGGUUGCACAGUA